rnacentral:rRNA from 1 species
GAUGAACGCUGGCGGCGUGCCUAAUACAUGCAAGUCGAGCGAACGGACGAGAAGCUUGCUUCUCUGAGGUUAGCGGCGGACGGGUGAGUAACACGUGGAUAACCUACCUAUAAGACUGGGAUAACUUCGGGAAACCGUAGCUAAUACCGGAUAAUAUUUUGAACCGCAUGGUUCAAAAGUGAAAGACGGUCUUGCUGUCACUUAUAGAUGGAUCCGCGCUGCAUUAGCUAGUUGGUAAGGUAACGGCUUACCAAGGCAACGAUGCAUAGCCGACCUGAGAGGGUGAUCGGCCACACUGGAACUGAGACACGGUCCAGACUCCUACGGGAGGCAGCAGUAGGGAAUCUUCCGCAAUGGGCGAAAGCCUGACGGAGCAACGCCGCGUGAGUGAUGAAGGUCUUCGGAUCGUAAAACUCUGUUAUUAGGGAAGAACAUAUGUGUAAGUAACUGUGCACAUCUUGACGGUACCUAAUCAGAAAGCCACGGCUAACUACGUG